UCCGGCUUGACGCCGGCAGUCCCCCGAGAGUCCUCAGCUUUACCUGUUAGUAACACGGGGCAAGGGUUGCGCUCGUUGCGGGACUUAACCCAACAUCUCACGACACGAGCUGACGACAGCCAUGCAGCACCUGUGUUCCCGUUCCCUUUCGGGCACAGCCCCCCCUCAGGGGCCUUCAGGACAUGUCAAGGGUAGGUAAGGUUUUUCGCGUUGCAUCGAAUUAAUCCACAUAAUCCACCGCUUGUGCGGGUCCCCGUCAAUUCCUUUGAGUUUUAACCUUGCGACCGUACUCCCCAGGCGGUCAACUUCACGCGUUAGCUGCGUUACCAAGUCAAUUAAGACCCGACAACUAGUUGACAUCGUUUAGGGCGUGGACUAC
rnacentral:misc_RNA from 1 species